rnacentral:rRNA from 1 species
AUUGAACGCUGGCGGCAUGCCUUACACAUGCAAGUCGAACGGCAGCACGGGGGCAACCCUGGUGGCGAGUGGCGAACGGGUGAGUAAAGCAUCGGAACGUACCCGGAAGUGGGGGAUAACGUAGCGAAAGUUACGCUAAUACCGCAUAUUCGGUGAGCAGGAAAGCAGGGGAGCGCAAGACCUUGCGCUUUCGGAGCGGCCGAUAUCGGAUUAGCUAGUUGGUGGGGUAAAGGCCUACCAAGGCGACGAUCCGUAGCGGGUCUGAGAGGAUGAUCCGCCACACUGGGACUGAGACACGGCCCAGACUCCUACGGGGGGCAGCAGUGGGGGAUUUUGGACAAUGGGGGCAACCCUGAUCCAGCCAUGCCGCGUGAGUGAAGAAGGCCUUCGGGUUGUAAAGCUCUUUCGGCCGGGAAAAAAUCGCUCAGGCUAAUACCUUGAGUGGAUGAUGGUACCGGAAUAAGAAGCACCGGCUAACUACGUGCCAGCAGCCGCAGUAA